rnacentral:rRNA from 1 species
UACGUAGGGUGCAAGCGUUAAUCGGAAUACUGGGCGUAAAGCGUGCGCAGGCGGUGAUGUAAGACAGAUGUGAAAUCCCCGGGCUCAACCUGGGAACUGCAUUUGUGACUGCAUCGCUGGAGUACGGCAGAGGGGGGGAUGGAAUUCCGCGUGUAGCAGUGAAAUGCGUAGAUAUGCGGAGGAACACCGAUGGCGAAGGCAAUCCCCUGGGCCUGUACUGACGCUCAUGCACGAAGCGUGGGGA